UGGGGAAUAUUGCGCAAUGGAGGAAACUCUGACGCAGCAACGCCGCGUGAAGGAUGAAGGUUUUCGGAUUGUAAACUUCUUUGAUGAGGGACGAAGAAAUGACGGUACCUCAAAAACAAGCCACGGCUAACUACGUGCCAGCAGCCGCGGUAAUACGUAGGUGGCGAGCGUUGUCCGGAAUUACUGGGUGUAAAGGGCGUGUAGGCGGGUUAGCAAGUCAGAUGUGAAACCCCACGGCUUAACUGUGGGACUGCAUCUGAAACUGCUGAUCUUGAGUGCUGGAGAGGAAAGCGGAAUUCCCAGUGUAGCGGUGAAAUGCGUAGAGAUUGGGAGGAACACCAGUGGCGAAGGCGGCUUUCUGGACAGUAACUGACGCUGAGGCGCGAAAGCGUGGGGAGCAAACAGG
rnacentral:rRNA from 1 species